GCACGCACGACGUCGAGGUGGUGCCGGAGGCGCUGACGUCACUGGAUGGUCUCAGUGCGCUUGUGCGUGCGGGCGCGGGGGCGAGGAGCUGAGUCGUGUAGCGUGCCUAGGGGUAAUCCUGCUGACGUAACAGGUCUUCGGCGCGGUGAUGCAACGAGCUUUGAUUCUGGCCCUUCUGCGAAGAGACGCACCUGGAGGUCUCCUAGCUACUUUUUGUCAGCAGGCGACCUUUACUCAGACUCGGGCACGCUUCCACUGCUGGCGCCAGCUGCACCUCAGAGGGACAGCCUGGAACCGGGUGUUUGUAAGAGUUAGACAUUAAGUCAUUUUUCAGCUGUCCGUCAAAUGGACGCCCUAAGACCGAGGAGGGUGCUGUAUUGGCAGUAGACGGGAUUUUAACUCUGGCCGCUUCCCUGCCAGUUUCUCUUUUGCUGACGCUCCUCGCCACCUGGCGUUCGUGUGCAGAAAGAACAGGGGGAGUGUGCAGGCAGUAUCUACGGUAGGAAGAAGCAUUUUUAGAUGAUUAGGGAAUUGUUGGAAACCUAGGUAAAGAUCGUGUUCAGGUCCCCACUGAAUUCCCCGCGGGUCGGGGCAAUUGGCGCCCAAACGUGGGGUGAGGGUACGGGGGUCUUGUUGAACGUUGCUGCCAGUAAGGGUACCCUUAUUAUUGGAUUGCUGCAACCCGAAGGUUGUGAGUGAAAAUCCACACUGUGAUUGCCGCGCCACAAGAAGGACGUGAGUGAAGAUCCGCUUGGCGAUCGCCGCAGAAUUGCCCACCUGCGAGUCUGAUCCAUCAAGGUUUGCCUGUUCUGGAUAUUCCCAUAAACAGAAUCAUAUACUAUGUGGUCCUCUGUAACUUAGCAUCAUGUUUUCAAGGCUCAUCCCGCAGCAUGUGUCAGUGCGUCAUUCCUUUUCAUGGCUGCAUAAAAUCCUAC